rnacentral:rRNA from 1 species
CACUCCUGCGGGAGGCAGCAGUAGGGAAUCUUCCACAAUGGGUGCAAACCUGAUGGAGCAAUGCCGCGUGAGUGAAGAAGGUCUUCGGAUCGUAAAGCUCUGUUGUUAGAGAAGAACACGUGCUAGGUAACUACUAGCGCCUUGACGGUAUCUAACCAGAAAGUCACGGCUAACUACGUGCCAGCAGCCGCGGUAAUACGUAGGUGACAAGCGUUGUCCGGAUUUAUUGGGCGUAAAGGGAGCGCAGGCGGUCUGUUUAGUCUAAUGUGAAAGCCCACGGCUUAACCGUGGAACGGCAUUGGAAACUGACAGACUUGAAUGUAGAAGAGGAAAAUGGAAUUCCAAGUGUAGCGGUGGAAUGCGUAGAUAUUUGGAGGAACACCAGUGGCGAAGGCGAUUUUCUGGUCUAACAUUGACGCUGAGGCUCGAAAGCGUGGGGAGCGAACAGGAUUAGAUACCCCGGUAGUCCC